GACAGGCAGUACAGACGUUAUUCCGCUUGUUUGGGCGUAAAGGGUAUCUAGGUGGGUUUUAAAAACGAAGGAGGAAAUGCUAGAGCAUACUUUUAGCAGAAUUCCUUUCAGAUUACAAAUCUUGAGUUAUCUUGGACGUGUGGGGAAUAGCUUUUGUAGGGAUCAAAUGCUACAAUAAUUGUUAGUACACCAAUGGCGCAGGCAAAGGGCGACAAGUAACUGACACUGACGUACGAAAGUUUGGGGCGCAAAUAGG
rnacentral:rRNA from 1 species